GCCACCCUGCCACCAUCACUCUGCAGCCCGGGUCAUCCAGCUGCCCGCCCCCAGCCCCGAAGCUUGUCAGGCCUGGAUCAGCAGGGCUUCUCACCAGAGGCCCGGGCAUGUUCUUGUUCCAGGAGGCAGAAACCAUCAUCCAGAAAAUCAAGCAGCAGCAGUACGCAGACCUCCUGUCCCACGACCAGCUGCUCACAGAGAGGAGGGAGCAGAAGGUCUUCCUACACUUCGAGGAGGAAGAAAUCACGUUUGCCCCAACCUACCGUUUUGAGAGACUGACUCGGGACAAAUACGCCUACACCAAGCAGAAAGCGACAGGGAUGAAGUACAACUUGCCUUCCUGGUGUGACCGAGUCCUCUGGAAGUCUUAUCCCCUGGUGCACGUGGUGUGUCAGUCUUAUGGCAGUACCAGCGACAUCAUGACGAGUGACCACAGCCCUGUCUUUGCCACAUUUGAGGCAGGAGUCACUUCCCAGUUUGUCUCCAAGAAUGGUCCCGGGACUGUUGACAGCCAAGGACAGAUUGAGUUUCUCAGGUGCUAUGCCACAUUGAAGACCAAGUCCCAGAC
rnacentral:sRNA from 1 species